ACGAAAUUUUGUAGAGUCUGCAAAUGAGCAGAUAACUGAUGAUCCUGAUUAUGAACUAGUUGGGGAAUUCUUAUGUAACAAUAAAGAUUUAUGUUUUCAUCUGUAUAGAUUUGCACAAUGGUACUUAUAAGAGGAAAGGAAGGGGCAUCACCACAAUGAAUGACAUAUUCUCAAGGACAGCUGAUAUGCCUAAAAUUAAAAUAAAUCUCAAUCAAUAUGGUCAGCCUGUAGGAGAUGAUUAUAGGAAGUUUGCUAGUGCCAUUGGCUGUCAAGUGAGAAAGAAAUUACCAGUUGGAUUUAACGAUUGGAGGGUUGUUCCCCUUGGAAAGAAGCUUGAAGUUUGGGAUAACUUGCAGGCAUUCUAUGAUGUGGAUGCUGCUGCCAAGAAAUGGUUUAUGGAUACAGCUGCAAAGAAGUGGAAGGACUAUAAGGCAGACUUAAAAAACAAG